rnacentral:rRNA from 1 species
GACAGAGGGUGCAAACGUUGCUCGGAAUUACUGGGCGUAAAGCGUGCGUAGGUGGUUUGUUAAGUCUGUUGUGAAAGCCCCCGGGCUCAACCUGGGAAUGGCAAUGGAUACUGGCAGGCUAGAGUGCGGCAGAGGAGACUGGAAUUCCUGGUGUAGCAGUGAAAUGCGUAGAUAUCAGGAGGAACACCGAUGGCGAAGGCAGGUCUCUGGGCUGACACUGACGCUCAUGCACGAAAGCGUAGGGGAGCGAAACAAGGAU